ensembl:lncRNA
GACGAAACUGGUUUACCUGAAGCCCAGGGAGAACAUGCAAACUCCACACUCAGAGGGUGGAGGUGGGAAUUGAACCACCAACUCUGGAGGUACGGGGCAAACGUCCUAACCACUAAGACAACAGUGUGACUAAAUUUCAGUAUGACUCCUACUUAAUAAUUAACAGACCUUACAUUUUGGUUUUUGUUUUGUUUGUUUUUUUUGUAGAAAGAAUGGGUCACAGCCUCUUGAUUGUUUCCUCAAACUUCCAGGAUUAGAUUCGUGAUUUCUUCAUUUAUUCAUCAUCAGGAAGCACUUCAUCCUGGUCAGCACUGUGGUGGAUCCGGAGACUGUCCUGGGAACAGUGAGCAGGAAUACCCUCUGGAUGGGACACUAGUCCGUUGCUGGGCAACAUGCACACAUACAUUCACGCUUAGAGGCAAUUUAGCAUAGUAGCCAAAGCCUCCUCGGCGCGGCCAGCGUGGAUCGAUGUUCAUUGAUCGUCCCUGACGAGCUGCUCCACUUUCCAGCCAAUGUCCGCCCGCCUGCCGCUGGGGAAGGAGCCCGAAACGGAGGGGAAAAUUUUCUGC